rnacentral:rRNA from 1 species
UACAGAGGUCUCAAGCGUUGUUCGGAUUCAUUGGGCGUAAAGGGUGCGUAGGCGGCGCGGUAAGUCGGAUGUGAAAUCUCGGAGCUUAACUUCGAAACUGCAUUCGAUACUGCCGUGCUUGAGGACUGGAGAGGAGACUGGAAUUUACGGUGUAGCGGUGAAAUGCGUAGAUAUCGAGAGGAACACCUGCGGCGAAGGCGGGUUGCUGGGCUGACACUGACGCUGAUGCGCGAAAGCCAGGGGAGCGAACGGG